GUACCUGACUCAUUCCCGCAUUUUUCGCCGCCACUGUGGUCGAUGCAUUCGCCAGAGAUUGUUUGCCGCGAUUCUGACUAACUAACAAUCGUCUUUGUUAGAGACUUUUGUGCAGGUUUUGAAUGCGCGGACAAAUUUGACGAAGGUAGUUUUACUCAGUAAUUGUUGAUGGAAGUGGUCAAGCAGUGAGCUUCCUGCCCGGGAUGUUUCAGAAAUAGAACUGAAAGGCUGUCAGUGAUCGAUUGUGCUCUAGGGAAAUGUGUAUUUCAGAGUUUGUCGUCUUAAAACCAUGGCUUUGAAGAUAAUGAUUACAAAACAAGUGUCAUGAAGCUGGCCACUACUCGAAAGGCUGCCCGAAUCUGUUCAGUGAAUUGACGGAAGAUGGAAAGCCUCAUGAACAAUACAUUCUGGAAGCUGUGACAUACAAUGAAAAGGAAAUGUUUAAGG